UUUGUUGAAAAAUAACAGCGACGACCGGCAAAGCGACGACCGUGUCAAAACAGUGUUAAAAAGCGUAAAGAAUUCGCGCUAGAAUUCAGCCAGCGAGUCCGUCUUCGAUUUGCAUAAAAUUAUUCGCAGUUCAUGCGACACAAAAAACAAAGCGCCCCAGCCAAUCGAAGUAAAGCCAGGUUGAGCCCCCAAGUUGACAAAUUACACACUUACACAGUCGCGAUGUCAUGUAAACAGGGUUCGCUAAUGUAAAAAUUAGCCAACGAUUGCUAAUGUGGCGGCAUAUUUACGUUUAAAAUGCUAAUUAGAUGUGCUACCACCACUACCGCCUCCAACACCACCACCACCAGCACCACUACCACCACUAUCACUAUCGGCUGGGUCUUAAUGUCAGGAAACUAUUUGGAAAAUUUAAAUAAACUAUUAAUCAUGGCGCUAAGAGGUGUUGUUUUAGAAUUUGCAAAAAAAAAAUGAAAUCUCAGAAGAAUUGAUUUGAAGAUACGAGUACGUUACAACGCAAUUAUUGGGGAAAGAUGUAUGAUUAUAUUGACUUGGCGCUAAGGAUGGAAGAUAACAAAUGUGGAACUAGAUUACGCGGUAUUCCACGCAAAAUGCUAAGAAAAACCACAAAAGAAACCCCUGAGAAUCGAGCAAGAAGAAGAGCCGCAGCAGCAUCAACAAAAACUAUAUCAAACAAUCUGUGAAAUUCAAUAUUUAUGACACCUACAACAAAAACAACCACAACAGCAACAACAAGAGAGGCCUCUUAGCAUUGGCAAUGAAAACAAAAAUACCCGCAGCAAGAACAUAUCACAUAGUACACCCAGGUUGGACUGUGGUCCAAAGCCAGAAAAAUGUGCCACCUAGCGCAAGUGUUUGUAUGCCGCCAAACAGCCAUCCAUUGCUACUGUCAGUUAGACCGCA
rnacentral:sRNA from 1 species